AUGAACGCUAGCUACAGGCUUAACACCUGCAAGUCGCGGGGCAGCAUGGGGGUUGCUUGCAAUCCCCGAUGGCGACCGGCGCACGGGUGAGUAACGCGUAUCCAACCUGCCCUUCACCACGGGAUAACCCGGCGAAAGUCGGACUAAUACCGUAUGUUGUCCAUUGACGGCAUCCGAUUUGGACGAAAGGUUUGGCGGUGAAGGAUGGGGAUGCGUCCGAUUAGCUGGACGGCGGGGUGACGGCCCACCGUGGCGACGAUCGGUAGGGGUUCUGAGAGGAAGGUCCCCCACACUGGAACUGAGACACGGUCCAGACUCCUACGGGAGGCAGCAGUGAGGAAUAUUGGUCAAUGGGCGUAAGCCUGAACCAGCCAAGUAGCGUGCAGGAUGACGGCCCUAUGGGUUGUAAACUGCUUUUAUGCGGGGAUAAAGUGGCCCACGUGUGGGUUUUUGCAGGUACCGCAUGAAUAAGGACCGGCUAAUUCCGUG
rnacentral:rRNA from 1 species